UUUCAAAAACUAAAAAAAUAAAUUAUUUUAUUAAAAAUUAAUAUUUAUCACAAUAACGAAAGUUAUUAUUUUUAUCUAAUACUAGUAUGAAAAUAAAAAAAGUUAAUAAGUAAUUGUGCUGAAUAUAAAUCAGUUAAAAAUUAUGAUAUAGUUUUAUUAACUAUAAUAUAUCAAAAAUUUUAUACUGGAAAAGAAAAAUAAUGUAUAGUUUAGUACGAAUUUGAUGACAGUGGUACAUUUCUCGAAUGGCGCAUACACGGCUCAGCUGUGUGUAGAUAUAAAGGCAAAUUAACGCCGAGUUAUAAUGCAUUUUACUGUGCUUUUAAUUAGUUAACAAAGUGCUAGAUCUAGCUUUGAUCUUAAUAGAUACAAUGGACCUUGUUGCACUUGCCAAAUUUUCAUUAUUUCACUGCAGUUAAUUUCUUUAGAGAUUUUAUACAUGGUUUAAUGAACGAUACUGGACAAUAUUUGAGUCAUUGAAUUAGUAAUAAGUAUUUUAAAAUGGAAGUGAUACGUGACGAGGAUCGGCGAAGGCGCCUAAGAACUUUAGAAGAAAAAAUUAAAGAUCCAAGGAGUAUUUCCAAUAUUGAUUGUCUUUUGGACACAGUUCAGGCUCUUGUGGCUGAUUGUGAUCAUCCAAGUGUUAAACGCAUGAAAAAUAUUGAGGCUUAUAUGACUAGAUAUGAUUCAGUGGCACGUGAAAUAAACAAAAUGCGUAUGCGUACAGAUGAUUUUACUCUUAUUAAAGUUAUUGGUCGUGGAGCAUUUGGUGAGGUGCAACUAGUUAGACACAAUUCAACUCAAAAAGUUUAUGCUAUGAAAUUACUUAGUAAAUUUGAAAUGAUUAAACGGUCGGACUCAGCAUUUUUUUGGGAAGAAAGAGAUAUUAUGGCACACGCCAACUCUCAAUGGAUUGUACAGUUACACUUUGCUUUUCAAGAUCAUAAAUAUCUUUAUAUGGUAAUGGAUUAUAUGCCAGGUGGUGAUUUAGUUAAUUUAAUGUCUAGUUAUGAUGUGCCAGAAAAAUGGGCAAAAUUUUAUUGUGCCGAAGUUGUACUAGCAUUAGACGCUAUACAUUUAAUGGGAUUUGUGCACAGAGAUGUUAAACCAGAUAAUAUGUUGCUUGAUAAAUAUGGGCAUCUUAAAUUAGCUGAUUUUGGUACUUGUAUGAGGAUGGACGAGGAUGGUUUGGUAAGAUCAGAUACUGCCGUUGGAACACCUGAUUAUAUAUCUCCAGAAGUACUUCAAUCUCAGGGUGGUGAAGGUGUGUAUGGUCGUGAAUGUGACUGGUGGUCUGUAGGUGUAUUUCUUUAUGAAAUGUUAGUUGGUGAUCCACCUUUUUAUGCUGAUUCACUUGUUGGUACAUAUUCAAAAAUAAUGGAUCAUCGUAAUUCACUUCAUUUUCCUCAAGAAAUAGAUAUAUCUCAAUCAGCAAAGAGUAUUAUUUGUGGGUUUUUAACUGAUCGUACAAAUCGUUUAGGAAGAAAUGGUGUAGAAGAAAUAAAGAAACAUCCAUUUUUUAAAAAUGAUCAAUGGACAUUUGAUAAUUUACGAGAAUGUGUUCCUCCUGUUGUACCUGAAUUAUCAGGUGACGAUGAUACAAGUAAUUUUGAAGAUGUAGAUAAAGAAGAUACUCCAGAAGAAAAUUUUCCUGUACCAAAAGCAUUUUCUGGCAAUCAUUUACCAUUUAUAGGAUUUACUUACUCUGGUGAUUAUCAAUUUCUUGUUACUUCAGGCAAAGAAUCAGUAGACGGCCUUGAAAAUCAUAUGAAUAAUGGGAUAACAGAUGAGGUCAAAAUUUCACAGUUAGAAAAUUUAUUAGAACGUGAAAAAAGACAAGUUGAUGCAAUGGAAAAUCGUCAUCGUACUCUUACUGCUCAAUUAGAAGCAAUAACACAAAGAGAAUCAGAACUAAGAGAAGAAGCUGGUAGAGCUGAUAAAGAAUUAACUAUUCUUCGACAUAGUUAUAAAGAAGUACAACGUCGUAUUGAGCAUGAAACAGAAGCACGAAGAAAAGCAGAAGGAAUGUUAGCGGAUUUAAAGAAAAAAUUUGAUGAAGAACAAAGUAAAAGAGCUCGUGAUGCAUCAAAUUCUCAACAAACAUCCGAACGAGUUUUAACAUUAGAGAAACAAAUAAAAGAAAUGCAGAGUAAAUUAGAGAGAGAAACAGAAUCUGCAACAAGAAUGAGAAAACAAGCAACAGAAGUUACUGUUGCUAAGCAAACUGCUAAGCAAAUGGCCAAUGAAUUACAAGCAGCAAGAGCUCAAUUACAAGCACAAACUGAUUCUUUACAACAAGAAGUUGCGAGUUUGCAGGGUCAAUUGUCCAAAGAACGAAGUUCUCGAACUCAAGCAUCAACUUUAACUGCAGAGCUUGAAGCAAGAUUAGCUUCUUUAUAUGUUGAAUUGGAAAGAAGUCGAGAAAAAGAAGAAAAAGUUAUGACAGAUAAUCGGCAAUUAAAUGAAAGAGUAUCUGCACUAGAAAAAGAAACAGCCAGUUUAACUCUAGAGCUUAAAGCUGCUCAAGCAAGGUACAAUCAAGAAGUUUUAGCUCAUCAGGAAACUGAAAAAUCGAGAAUGCUAUCAAAAGAAGAAGCUAACAUGGAAGUUGUUAAGGGACGUAUGAAUUGCGUAAUAAAAGUCAAGCUAAGUGAGGAAAAAAGUGGAAGACAAAGAGCUGAAUUACUUGCUCAAGAAAAGGAACGUCAAACAUCAAUGCUGUCUGUGGAUUAUCGGCAGAUACAACAACGACUACAAAAAUUAGAGGGUGAACACAGACAAGAAGUAGAAAAAGUUAAAGCACUUCAGGGUCAGGUGGAACAAGAACAACAAAAACGAAAUUUACUUCAGUCUGAUUUAGCGCAACAAUCAUCUGAUGCUGGAAGAUUACGUGCACGUGAGCAACAGUUGGUUAAUGAAGUAAGCCAAUUACGUGAAGCUAAACGACAAAUUGAUGAAGAACUAAAUAAUCUUAAAACUCAACGUAAUGUUGAUUUGUUACAAACAAAAGAACUUCAAGAGCAGUUAGAAGCUGAAGCUUAUUUUUCUACACUGUACAAAACGCAGACUCAAGAACUUCGAGAAGAAUUGGAUGAAAAGACGAGACUUCAACAAGAACUCGAAGAAGAACGUAGUUCGCUAGUACAUCAGUUACAACUAUCUUUAGCUCGAGGUGAUAGUGAAGCUCUAGCAAGAUCAAUAGCUGAGGAAACCGUUGCAGAUUUAGAAAAAGAAAGAACGAUGAAGGAAUUAGAAUAUAAAGAUGGUUUAGUUAAACAUCAUCAUGAAAUUACUGCUAAAGAACAAAUGUUGAAUCGUUUAAAAGACGGUGAGUCUGAACUGAAAAAGAGUAUUGAACAAUAUGCUAAAGAGAAGGAAGAUGCUGCAAAAAGGAUAAAAGAACUUCAGGAACAACUCGUUAAAUCUCAAUCAAAUGCUGAAGAAAUUGAUAGGCUUAGUAGCAAAUUAAAAACAGAGACAUUGUUGAAAGAACAAGCUAUCAAUAAAUUAACACAAAUUGUUGUAAGAAAAGAUUUUUCUGCUGGUGGAAAAACUAAAAAUAAACCAUCUUCAGCAGAUCUUCGGAAAAAAGAAAAAGAUUGUCGACGAUUACAACAAGAACUUACGCAAGAACGAGAAAAAUAUGGACAAUUGGCAGCUAAAUGGCAAAAGGAUUUACAAGAUUUACAAGCACAACUUGUAGAAGAAAAUCAGGCAAAACUCCGAUUACAAAUGGAAUUAGAUUCAAAAGAUUCAGAAAUAGAAACACUACAAAUGAAAAUAUCUUCAAUGAAUUCGGAGACUGCAAGUGUAUCGUCAAUCGAAAAUGAUGGUGAUGAUUCAGUUUUACCGGAACAUGGUGCCAUGAGACUUGAAGGCUGGUUAAAUGUGCCGAAUAAACAAAAUAUUAAGAGACAUGGGUGGAAAAAACAAUAUGUUGUUGUUUCAUCAAAAAAAAUUAUUUUUUACAAUAGUGAACACGAAAAAAUAAAUGCUGAUCCAGUGUUAAUACUGGAUUUAAGUAAAGUUUUUCACGUAAGAUCUGUAACUCAGGGAGAUGUUAUUAGAGCAGACGCCAAAGAUAUUCCUCGGAUAUUUCAGUUACUUUAUGCUGGCGAGGGCGAAGCAAGACGUCCUGGUGACGAAGGUAAUGCAUUGCCAGUUCCAGAACUUACUCAAUUAGUUGAUAAACCAGGUAUGCAACCAGUUAUUAAGGGUCAUGAAUUCAUCUCAAUAUCUUAUCAUAUGCCUACAACCUGUGAAGUAUGUUCGAAACAAUUAUGGCAUAUGUUUAGACCACCACCUGCAUUAGAAUGUCGAAGAUGUCAUAUAAAAGUGCAUAAAGAACACUUAGAUAAAAAAGAAGAUGCGAUAGCGCCAUGUAAACUUCACUACGAUCCUACUAGUGCACGAGAGUUACUAUUACUUGCUGGUAGUCCAGAUGAUCAAAAGUAUUGGGUAGCACGUUUGUCAAGACGCAUACAGAAGUGUGGGUAUAAAGCAAAUUCACAUAUUGAUGGCACCGGACAACGUGUAUCUCCAAGGUAGCGUAAUUGGACAGACACAGCUUCAGGGAAAUUUAUUAGCUCUUGUGUUGUGGCACCGCAUGAAUGGGUAUAGUGAGAGAAUCAACAAGAUCUACCUUGAAGCCAUAUUUAUCCGUUCAGCAGAGGUCUGCUACUCUACCAGCAAAUGCGAGUAUGGGCAAAUGAUAUUUUAAAUAUUUUUAUUAAUUAUUUUUGUCAUUUGUGAUCUCUGGCCAUUCGUUGAAGGACCAAUAGUUUAAUAAUAAUAAUAAUAUAUAUUAAUCAUGCCUCUUUUUUUUUUUCUUCUGACUGAACAGUCAGAGAAUCUCACAUCAAUAAUUUAAUGAAAGUUUUAGGCAGCCUUACUAUAUUUUAAUAUUUUUAUGUAUGAAUCGUUAAAUAUUUGCCAUUUUAUUAUUUGAUGUGAGUCGGUAGAUUAUUAUACUACUAUACAUUAAACUAUUUCUCCUUGCCAACGAUAUAAAGAAAAUUGUGUAUUAAUUAUUUCAAGUAAUUAACGUCUUUGUUAUAAAUAAAAUUUUGCUAUUUUUAUUUUUUAAUUUUGAUUUAAUGUAAAUAUCAGGAAUUACCAUCAAUAUUCAUAAUUGUUAUUAUACUAGAUAAAAAUAAAUCGAUCGUAUAGUAUUAUUACUUUUGUAUGUAAUCUAUAUUACGCAGAUUAAAUAAUUAAAUAGAUUACACGAUUUAUAAUAAUUUUUUAAAUAUUAAACAUUUAUAAUCGUGGAUCUAUGUUUUAUUGUAUAGUAUGAAUAUAUAAUAACUAUUUUAGGGAUUUAAUACAUUUUUUCUUAUUAAUAUAUCAUAAAUGUUAUUGAUAUUUAAUUGAAUUAAAUUUUAUUAUACAAAUAAUGUGUUUGCCUUCAAACAUUUAUAAAAUCAAUGCGUUUGCAUGGGAAUCAAUUAAAGUAGUCGAAGAAAAGAGCAUUAAUGUAUCAAUAUUAAUUUUUAUAUUAAAAACCAAAAUUAUAAUUUUUUGUGUAUUUUCUUAUAAUUGGUGCUUCAUAUUUUUACAUGUAAAUUGCAUAUAAAUGGUACGAUAUUUUAAAAUUAAUGAUAAAUCAAAUCCUCUGAAAAUACAACAACUGCCUUGCGCCUUCCUUCCUUUCUCCAAAAUUUUGAAUAAUUAAUCGUUUAAACAAAUGAUAAUUAAUUAUUAUUACUUAUAAUUAAAACGGGAAAGGGAUAGAAGGAAAAAAAUUAAUCAUGUGAAAAAAAGUUGUACGGUUAUUACGUUAUUAUCUGUAUAAUAUGAAUCAUUAUUGCUAUUAAAACUAUUUUGUAGAUAAUACAUGAGUUUAUUAAUUUAUUUAAAUUCAAACUGUAUAUAAUAGUUUAAACAAUCACUUAAAUUUUUGACAAAUAAUUAUUUUAAAUUAUUUAAUUUUAUCGUAAAAUGACUAGGAAUUAUUUAUGAAAGGAUAAUUUUAUUCAAGUUAAAUUUAGAUUAAUAUUACUUUAUUAUUGUACAACAAGAAAGAUCUAUUUUUUUUCUAUUUUAAUAUUUGUUAAGUGGUAUAUUUGACAAAAUUUUUAUGAUGGAAUAACACCUGGAGUAAUUGCGUGAGUUAACUAUAUCAUUCAUAUUUUUAUAAAUCGAUCUAUAGAUAUAGGAAUUUAAUUAAUUAUAGUAAUUAAAUAAAUACUUAUUAUUAAUGAGUGAUAAAGCCGUAAAAAUUUUUAAUUGAUGUGGGAAAUCCUCAAGCUAUUUUUUUUUUUAAUUCCUGUCUUUUUAUUUUAAAUCUUUGGAUAUUCCGCGUUAUGAAAAGUCCAUUGUACGGCAUCAAAUAUUGGAUAAUAUGAGGAAUUAUUUAAUUAAUAAAUGAUAAACAUUUAAUUAACGUAAUUAUCAUUU